GACGAACGCUGGCGGCGUGCCUAAUACAUGCAAGUAGAACGCUGAAGGAGGAGCUUGCUCUUCUGGAUGAGUUGCGAACGGGUGAGUAACGCGUAGGUAACCUGCCUGGUAGCGGGGGAUAACUAUUGGAAACGAUAGCUAAUACCGCAUAAGAGUAGAUGUUGCAUGACAUUUACUUAAAAGGUGCAAUUGCAUCACUACCAGAUGGACCUGCGUUGUAUUAGCUAGUUGGUGGGGUAACGGCUUACCAAGGCGACGAUACAUAGCCGACCUGAGAGGGUGAUCGGCCACACUGGGACUGAGACACGGCCCAGACUCCUACGGGAGGCAGCAGGAGGGAAUCUUCGGCAAUGGACGGAAGUCUGACCGAGCAACGCCGCGUGAGUGAAGAAGGGUUUCGGAUCGUAAAGCUCUGUUGUAAGAGAAGAACGAGUGUGAGAGUGGAAAGUUCACACUGUGACGGUAUCUGACCAGAAAGGGACGGCUAACUACGUG
rnacentral:rRNA from 1 species